rnacentral:rRNA from 1 species
UACGUAGGGUGCGAGCGUUAAUCGGAAUUACUGGGCGUAAAGCGUGCGCAGGCGGUUUGCUAAGACCGAUGUGAAAUCCCCGGGCUUAACCUGGGAACUGCAUUGGUGACUGGCAGGCUAGAGUAUGGCAGAGGGGGGUAGAAUUCCACGUGUAGCAGUGAAAUGCGUAGAGAUGUGGAGGAAUACCGAUGGCGAAGGCAGCCCCCUGGGCCAAUACUGACGCUCAUGCACGAAAGCGUGGGGAGCAAACGAGGAUUACGAAACCCGUAG